UACGAAGGGGGCUAGCGUUGCUCGGAAUCACUGGGCGUAAAGGGCGCGUAGGCGGAUAGUUUAGUGAGAGGUGAAAGCCCAGGGCUCAACCUUGGAACUGCCUUUCAUACUGGCUAUCUUGAGUACGGGAGAGGUGAGUGGAACUCCGAGUGUAGAGGUGAAAUUCGUAGAUAUUCGGAAGAACACCAGUGGCGAAGGCGGCUCACUGGCCCGGUACUGACGCUGAGGUGCGAAAGCGUGGGGAGCAAACAGGG
rnacentral:rRNA from 1 species